GUUUCUUAGCAACAAUUAUUUCUCCGAACCUGCACGAAAUAACUAGGAAUUCACUAGCUGUUCCACCCACGACGUAACUAAUAUUUUGAGCAGUAGGUCCAUUCUUAAAAAGACUCUUCAAUGGUAGUUUCACGUCACCGAUAUAUCUAUCCCCCAAAUGUCCUUUUACAGAAUAACUUCAUUACAAUUUCAACACCAGCUUCUUGUUGGACUGCUAUCUCGCCUAUUGUGUAACCGAUGGUGCAAUUCAAGCAGGGACUGCACUCGUUUUGCCUGUCCACUUGGGUUUUCUUUGCUGUUUGAGAUAUGCCAUAUUGAUUGAAACUUCAGCAUAAACUUUCAUUCUGCCAUAAUCCCUAACGUCAGGGAGACUAUUGGCAGAAACAAGAGUAAUAUCAAGUUUCCUGCACUCCAAAUAUUUGAGUGUUGACUGAGUUUU
rnacentral:lncRNA from 1 species